AUGCACAAUCGACGUCGUGUCACUGUCCAUUCCCGGCCGGUUGCAUAAAGAAACCAACCAAGAAUCUCAAGUCUCUGAACAUAAACUAGUCGUGCUAAUACAUGCAUUUCGUGUUCUUGUCCAGGUACGCUUAACGUCGUCCAUGCAGGGAUCGGAAAGAAAAGAAAUUAAGGUAUUGUGUCGUCUGAACAGGUAUAAUACUACAGCAGUAAUAUAAUAGAGCUGGAGAUUGAGGUCGAGGACAAUCAUGGGUUUGCUAUGGCUCGCCUCGUGUCCUCGCAGCCGCGAAGCUUUGUCAGGACGUGGCUGUUGCCGUGGGAAAAAGAAAAGGCGUGGAUCAACCGAUCCAACAGCCCAAGGCAGCUCGGCAGCAGCAAUAUACAAGGGAAUCGAUCGAUGAAUGGCCUGAAAUAAGUGAAAAAAAGAACAGAAAAGAAACAGCUCCGCUCGAUCUGCGUGGUGCAUGUAUGUAUGUAUGUAUAUACGGUUGACAAUCGUACAUGCGUGCGUGGUAAAAACAAGGAGUAACGCGUCGCAGAGGAAUGGAAUGGCAGUUGUUUUUUUUCCUUGUUCGGGUUUGACAGUCUGAGCUGGUUAUCUUCAAAAAAAAACAGUCUGAGCUGGCUGUGCCCGGGGAGGAGAGAAGGAAAAG
rnacentral:lncRNA from 1 species